CCUACGGGUGGCUGCAGUGGGGAAUAUUGGACAAUGGGGGCAACCCUGAUCCAGCCAUGCCGCGUGUGUGAAGAAGGCCCUCGGGUUGUAAAGCACUUUCAGUGAGGAAGAACGCCUGGUGGUUAAUACCCAUCAGGAAAGACAUCACUCACAGAAGAAGCACCGGCUAACUCCGUGCCAGCAGCCGCGGUAAUACGGAGGGUGCGAGCGUUAAUCGGAAUUACUGGGCGUAAAGCGCGCGUAGGUGGCUUGAUAAGCCGGUUGUGAAAGCCCCGGGCUUAACCUGGGAACGGCAUCCGGAACUGUCAAGCUAGAGUGCAGGAGAGGAAGGUAGAAUUCCCGGUGUAGCGGUGAAAUGCGUAGAGAUCGGGAGGAAUACCAGUGGCGAAGGCGGCCUUCUGGACUGACACUGACACUGAGGUGCGAAAGCGUGGGUAGCAAACAGGAUUAGAUACCCCAGUAGUC
rnacentral:rRNA from 1 species